rnacentral:rRNA from 1 species
AUUGAACGCUGGCGGCAGGCCUAAAACAUGCAAGUCGAACGAGUGGCGGACGGGUGAGUAAUGUCUGGGAAACGGCGUGAUGGAGGGGGAGAACUACUGGAAACGGUAGCUAAUACCGAAUAAAAGCAGAUGUGCACAGAUUGGAUUAGCUAGUUGGUGGGGUAACGGCUCACCACGGCGACGAUCCCUAGCUGGUCUGAGAGGAUGACCAGCCAUACUGGAACUGAGACACGGUCCAGACUCCUACGGGAGGCAGCAGUGGGGAAUAUUGGACAAUGGGCGCAAGCCUGAUGCAGCCAUGCCGCGUGUAUGAAGAAGUCCUUCGGGUUGUAAAGUACUUUCAGCGGGGAGGCGUUACCCGCAGAAGAAGCACCGGCUAACUCCGUGUCAGCAGCCGCGGUAAUUC